GGUGGCUCAGUGGUAGAGUGCUUGCCUUGCAUGCAUGAGGUCAUGGGUUCAAUUCCUCAGCACCA
rnacentral:tRNA from 1 species